rnacentral:tRNA from 1 species
GCCUUCGUGGUGCAAUGGUCAGCACACUGAGCCGGUAUUUCAGAGGUCCGUGGUUCGAUUCCUGGCGAAGGCA